rnacentral:rRNA from 1 species
AACGAACGCUGGCGGCAGGCUUAACACAUGCAAGUCGAACGCCCCGCAAGGGGAGUGGCAGACGGGUGAGUAACGCGUGGGAACAUACCCUUUCCUGCGGAAUAGCUCCGGGAAACUGGAAUUAAUACCGCAUACGCCCUACGGGGGAAAGAUUUAUCGGGGAAGGAUUGGCCCGCGUUGGAUUAGCUAGUUGGUGGGGUAAAGGCCUACCAAGGCGACGGUCCAUAGCUGGUCUGAGAGGAUGAUCAGCCACAUUGGGACUGAGACACGGCCCAAACUCCUACGGGAGGCAGCAGUGGGGAAUAUUGGACAAUGGGCGCAAGCCUGAUCCAGCCAUGCCGCGUGAGUGAUGAAGGCCUUAGGGUUGUAAAGCUCUUUCACCGAUGAAGAUAAUGACGGUAGUCGGAGAAGAAGCCCCGGCUGACUUCGUGCCAGCCGCCGCGGUAAGAC